AGUGAACGCUGGCGGCAGGCCUAACACAUGCAAGUCGAACGAAGUCUCGGAUUUAGUGGCGGACGGGUGAGUAACACGUGGGAACGUGCCUUUAGGUUCGGAAUUACUCAGGGAAACUUGUGCUAAUACCGAAUGUGCCCUUCGGGGGAAAGAUUUAUCGCCUUUAGAGCGGCCCGCGUCAGAUUAGCUAGUUGGUGAGGUAAAGGCUCACCAAGGCGACGAUCAGUAGCUGGUCUGAGAGGAUGAUCAGCCACAUUGGGACUGAGACACGGCCCAAACUCCUACGGGAGGCAGCAGUGGGGAAUUUUGCGCAAUGGGCGAAAGCCUGACGCAGCCAUGCCGCGUGAAUGAUGAAGGUCUUAGGAUUGUAAAAUUCUUUCACCGGGGACGAUAAUGACGGUACCCGGAGAAGAAGCCCCGGCUAACUUCGCGCCAGCCGCCGCAGUAAGAC
rnacentral:rRNA from 1 species